AGGCAGCAGUGGGGAAUCUUGGGCAAUGGGCGAAAGCCUGACCCAGCGACGCCGCGUGGGGGACGAAGGCCUUCGGGUCGUAAACCCCUGUUUUGGGGGAAGAACCAGGUYGUAGCGAAUAGCUAUGGCCUGCUGACGGUACCCCAGGAGAAAGCCACGGCUAACUGCGUGCCAGCAGCCGCGGUAAUAYGCAGGUGGCAAGCGUUGCCCGGAAUCACUGGGCGUAAAGGGUGCGUAGGCGGCAAGGCAAGUCGCAGGUCAAAGCCCGGGGCUCAACCCCGGAAGGGCCUGCGAUACUGUUUUGCUUGAGGGCCGGAGAGGCUGGCGGAAUUCCCGGUGUAGGGGUGAAAUCCGUAGAUAUCGGGAGGAACACCGGUGGGGAAGCCUGCCAGCUGGACGGUUCCUGACGCUGAGGCACGAAAGCGUGGGGAGCAAACCGGAUUAGAUACCCGGGUAGUCCACGCCGUAAACGAUGGGUGCUAGGUCUGGGGAGGAAACUCUCUGGGCCGCAGCUAACGCGUUAAGCACCCCGCCUGGGGAGUACG
rnacentral:rRNA from 1 species